AUGGCCGGAGCAGCAGCAGCCGCCGCCGCCGUGGCGUCCGGCAUCUCGAUCCGGCCGGUCGCCGCGCCUAAGAUCUCGCGCGCGCCUCGCUCUCGGUCGGCGGUGAGGGCGGCCGUCUCCAUAGGCGAGAAGGCUUACACGGUUCAGAAAUCUGAGGAGAUCUUCAACGCCGCCAAGGAAUUGAUGCCUGGAGGUGUUAAUUCACCAGUCCGUGCCUUCAAAUCAGUCGGUGGGCAGCCCAUAGUUUUUGAUUCUGUGAAGGGCUCUCAUAUGUGGGAUGUGGAUGGAAAUGAAUAUAUUGAUUAUGUUGGUUCCUGGGGUCCUGCAAUCAUUGGUCAUGCAGAUGAUGAGGUGAAUGCUGCACUUAUUGAAACUCUGAAGAAGGGAACUAGCUUUGGUGCUCCAUGUGCGUUGGAGAAUGUGUUGGCUCAAAUGGUCAUCUCCGCUGUGCCGAGUAUCGAAAUGGUUCGUUUUGUAAAUUCAGGAACAGAAGCUUGCAUGGGAGCACUCCGCCUUGUGCGUGCAUUCACUGGGAGGGAAAAGAUCCUCAAGUUUGAAGGCUGUUACCAUGGCCAUGCAGAUUCCUUCCUCGUUAAAGCAGGCAGUGGUGUUGCCACCCUCGGCCUCCCAGACUCCCCUGGAGUGCCUAAGGGAGCCACCGUUGGGACUCUAACAGCACCUUAUAAUGAUGUUGAGGCAGUUAAAAAGCUGUUUGAGGAUAACAAAGGGGAGAUUGCUGCAGUCUUCCUUGAGCCGGUUGUCGGCAAUGCUGGCUUCAUUCCUCCGCAGCCUGCUUUCCUAAAUGCUCUCCGUGAGGUGACCAAACAAGACGGUGCACUUCUGGUCUUUGAUGAAGUGAUGACUGGUUUCCGUUUAGCUUAUGGUGGGGCACAAGAGUACUUUGGAAUCACCCCUGACGUGACAACCUUGGGGAAAAUUAUUGGCGGUGGUCUUCCAGUUGGUGCUUACGGUGGGCGGAAGGAAAUCAUGGAGAUGGUUGCUCCAGCAGGGCCAAUGUACCAGGCAGGAACCCUGAGUGGAAACCCUCUAGCUAUGACUGCCGGAAUCCACACUCUCAAGCGUCUGAUGGAGCCUGGCACCUAUGAAUACUUGGACAAGGUCACCGGUGAACUUGUCCAGGGGAUAUUGGAUGCGGGCGCUAAAACAGGGCAUGAGAUGUGUGGAGGACACAUCAGGGGCAUGUUCGGAUUCUUCUUCGCAGGUGGCCCAGUGCACAACUUUGAUGACGCCAAGAAGAGCGACACCGCGAAGUUUGGGAGGUUCCACCGUGGGAUGCUGGAAGAAGGCGUGUAUCUGGCACCGUCCCAGUUCGAGGCAGGUUUUACAAGCUUGGCACACACAACCCUAGACAUUGAGAAAACCGUGGAGGCUGCCGAGAAAGUUCUUCGACGGAUAUAG
rnacentral:rRNA from 1 species